rnacentral:rRNA from 1 species
UACAGAGGGGGCAAGCGUUGUUCGGAAUUACUGGGCGUAAAGGGCGUGUAGGCGGCCUGGUAAGUCGAGCGUGAAAGCCCCGGGCUCAACCCGGGAACUGCGUCCGAUACUGGCAGGCUUGAAUCCGGGAGAGGGAUGCGGAAUUCCAGGUGUAGCGGUGAAAUGCGUAGAUAUCUGGAGGAACACCGGUGGCGAAGGCGGCAUCCUGGACCGGCAUUGACGCUGAGGCGCGAAAGCCAGGGGAGCAAACGGG